UAUGUACAUAUACGUAUACGUUGGGUGUAU
rnacentral:piRNA from 1 species